UCCCGCCGGACCUGACUGCUAUCGGAUUGAUACUAAGCCAUGCGAGUCUUUGUAGUAAUACAAGGCAGACGGCUCAGUAACACGUAGUCAACCUACCCUAUGGACAAGAAUAAUCUCGGGAAACUGGGCAUAAUUCUUGAUAGGUCAUAAUGCCUGGAAUGGUUUAUGGUUAAAAUGAUUCGUCGCCAUAGGAUGGGACUGCGGCCUAUCAGCUUGUUGGUGAGGUAAUGGCCCACCAAGGCGAUUACAGGUACGGGCUCUGAGAGGAGAAGCCCGGAGAUGGGUACUGAGACACGGACCCAGGCCCUAUGGGGCGCAGCAGGCGAGAAAACUUUGCAAUGUGCGAAAGCACGACAAGGUUAAUCCGAGUGAUUUCUGCUAAAGAAAUCUUUUGCCAGUCGUAAAACCGCUGGUGAAUAAGGGGUGGGCAAGUUCUGGUGUCAGCCGCCGCGGUAAAACCAGCACCUCAAGUGGUCAGGAUGAUUAUUGGGCCUAAAGCAUCCGUAGCCGGCUUUGUAAGUUUUCGGUUAAAUCCAUGUGCUCAGCGCAUGGGCUGCCGAAAAUACUGCAUGGCUAGGGAGUGGGAGAGGUAGACGGUACUCAGUAGGAAGGGGUAAAAUCCUUUGAUCUAUUGAUGACCACCUGUGGCGAAGGCGGUCUACCAGAACACGUUCGACGGUGAGGGAUGAAAGCUGGGGGAGCAAACCGGAUUAGAUACCCGGGUAGUCCCAGCUGUAAACGAUGCAGACUCGAUGAUGCAUUGGCAUAAUAGCCAGUGCAGUGUCGCAGGGAAGCCGUUAAGUCUGCCGCCUGGGAAGUACGUACGCAAGUAUGAAACUUAAAGGAAUUGGCGGGGGAGCACCACAAGGGGUGAAGCCUGCGGUCAAU
rnacentral:rRNA from 1 species